CUACGGGAUGCAGCAGUUAAGAAUAAUCUACAAUGCGCGAAAGCGUGAUAGUUUGAGCCAGGGUGCUUUUCUAUUGAAAAGCUUUUGUCAAAUGUAAAAAGUUUGACGAAUAAGGACUGGGUAAGACUAGUGCCAGUCCGCCGCGGUAAUACUAGCGGUCCAAGUCGCAGCCAUUUUUAUUGGGUCUAAAACAUCCGUAGCUUGCUUGAUAAGUUUCUUGUGAAAUUCCACGUCUCAAGCCUGGAGCGCGCAAGAAGUACUAUCAAGCUAGAGACUGGGAGACGUAAGAAGUAUGUUCAAAGUAAUGGUUAAAUGUGUUAAUCUUGAGCAGACUAACAAUUAGCGAAGGCAUCUUACGAGAACAGUUCUGACAGUCAGGGAUGAAGGCUAGGGUCGCGAAAGGGAUUAGAUACCCCUGUAGUC
rnacentral:rRNA from 1 species